GACGAACGCUGGCGGCGUGCUUAACACAUGCAAGUCGAACGGAAAGGCCCUGCUUUUGUGGGGUGCUCGAGUGGCGAACGGGUGAGUAACACGUGAGUAACCUGCCCUUGACUUUGGGAUAACUUCAGGAAACUGGGGCUAAUACCGGAUAGGAGCUCCUGCUGCAUGGUGGGGGUUGGAAAGUUUCGGCGGUUGGGGAUGGACUCGCGGCUUAUCAGCUUGUUGGUGGGGUAGUGGCUUACCAAGGCUUUGACGGGUAGCCGGCCUGAGAGGGUGACCGGCCACAUUGGGACUGAGAUACGGCCCAGAGUCCUACGGGAGGCAGCAGUGGGGAAUAUUGCACAAUGGGCGGAAGCCUGAUGCAGCAACGCCGCGUGCGGGAUGAAGGCCUUCGGGUUGUAAACCGCUUUCGCCUGUGACGAAGCGUGAGUGACGGUAAUGGGUAAAGAAGCACCGGCUAACUACGUG
rnacentral:rRNA from 1 species